UCUAAGCCUUUUUCCAAGCUCUUCAUAACUAGUGAGCAUUUCCAGCAAAUCAGCAUUUGUGGUCUCAGCUACUUCACUGGUUAGCUUUGGUCUCACUGGGCUAGCUGUGGAAACAUUGCUGUGCCUACUAGGCAAAGUGGAACUAGGUGGACCGGGGUUGUCUGUGUGUCCCAACAUUUGAUCAGUGAUAAUGCCUGUGUUAAUUUCUUGGACUGUUUGUUGCGUUCUACUGAUGUCACUACCUGUAGAGGGAGCUACAUGUACUGUUUGUGUGGGUGCCGGUGCAGUGUCUAACUCAAGAUCACCUCUAUUAUCAGACAAAAGCAGUACAUUUCGGUUCAUCACAACAGUAUCAAUAGUGUCCUUUAAAAUCAACAACUGUACCAUACCACUGUCCUCAGACUCAAGCAGAUGCUUACUGUACAUGAAUGAACUGAUGUGGUUGAAGCAGCUCUCAUGAUCUCCCUCUGUGAGCUCAGGCUGACCCUCCUCCAACACUGGAACCACGCCCUUGGCAAUCUGGAAUAGCUCUUCUGCUGACAACCUCUCUGCUCGCAUCAGCUCCCGUAUUGGUCCAAGAUGUCAUCAAGUGAAUCAGCCCCAGACCAGGAGUUGGUGCUGAUCCCGGACGAGCCCCCAAGAUUUGUUACGGGUCCCAGAGAUGUGAGACCACAUUAACAAAUAUAUACCUGUGAUAGCAGGUAAAGGAGAGAGACACAUGAAGAACAGGUUGUCGUUUUUCCCCUUAACAGGUUGUCUCUGAGAGCGGCAGCGGUUGCACACCCCUAACC